rnacentral:rRNA from 1 species
UGAGUAACGCGUAGGAAUAUGCCUUAAAGUGGGGGACAACUUGGGGAAACUCAAGCUAAUACCGCAUAAUAUCUUCGGAUUAAAGCUGGGGACCUUCGGGCCUAGCGCUUUAAGAUUAGCCUGCGUACGAUUAGCUAGUUGGUGGGGUAAGGGCCUACCAAGGCGACGAUCGUUAGCUGGUCUGAGAGGAUGACCAGCCACACUGGAACUGAGACACGGUCCAGACUCC